rnacentral:lncRNA from 10 species
GAUUUUCCUCAAGUGUGGAAAACACAGCACUGAUGAGAUACCAGUUGCUUUUCAGCGGUAAACUGACAGACUUGAAGCGCUCCCGGCUCAGGGCGCCUUGGGUCCGUGGCGCCACCUGCUGUUCUCGCGGCGCCAGCGCAGUCUGCGAGGCCGUCCCAGCUCUUUCCACCCGAGCGCGAGGUAGACGCCGGGGCCACCCGCAGCACGCAGAGCUUCUGGGAGCCGGUGGCAAGGCCGAAUUGGGAUGCAAACCAAAUGGACGUGGGUGACUGGCAGAAAACGCCUCCCACAAAUGGGAGGGAUUUCGGAGGGAACCGAAAGAAAGUUGGAAACCAAGUUACAGCUGAAGCCAGGGCCUUCUCCUACCCGACUCCCGCGGCCCAUUAAAACCUACGUGAGCUUAUCUGAUACCUUCAAGCCCUGUUUUGUGGCCCCAUCUCCUCUUCAGAUGGCAAUGUGCCUAGCUACACUACAUUUCCUGCCUCCCUUGCAGCUAGAGGUGGCCAAUGAGAUAUAAACAGAUGCUGUAAGACAUGAUGUCUAGAUCCCUAGCAGUCAUCCCAGACCAUGAGAUAACUUUGAGAAGGAACACCAUGUACAAAGGACUGUGCAGAAGAGGGUUGGCAGGAGCCUGGAUCUCUGAUGACUUCACCCUUGACUGCCCACCUCACCAGGCUGUACAAGCCACUGUUACUGGCAGAUGAAUGCAAGUUCUAAAACAUACAACUACUGACCUACUGAAUUUUCCAAGGAGCACAUUUCCACUGGAGACAUUUGGUGCCUGCAGAAAAUACUUACUGAGGAAUUUCUAUGGGACCAGCCUGAAGUAGAAGCCACUGAAGAGAGGCCCUGAAGCAGCUUUUCUUCCUUAUCCCAGAGACCAACAUGGUUACCCCAGCCCAGAGUCACCCUCCUUCCUCUAAGCUGUCAAAACCCUGGCUGCCUUUACAAUGAUUCUGACAAUGAAUCCCACCCUGCUGGUGAUGUCUAUUGCUUUACUGUUAAACUUUUUAAGGGUUAAAAUUCCUUUUUAUUUUUCUUUUUAAAUUGAUUAAUAAUAGUUGUACCAAUUUGGAUGGUACCUGUAAUAUUUUGAUACCUACAUACAAUGUGUGAUGAACAAAUCAGAGUAAUUGGGCUAGCCAUCACCUCACACAUUUAUCUAGGGCUGAAAUCCCUGAAGGACAGGAUUGUGUCUUACAAAUUGUGUAUUCUAAUCUGCAUUUACAUUUCAGAAAUUCUGGACUAAGUAGGCAAACCAACAGAAACUCUUGCUAUGAAGAUCUGGAGGUUUCCUGGAGGAAGUGGUGAAUAGGGCCUUGGGACUGAUGUUAAAAGCCCUGGAACACAAUAGGGAGACUCCUGAACUAGGAAGAAGUCAAAAGCUCUGGUAGCAGCCCCCACAAAUUAAGAAACCUACUCAGAGUAAAAGAAACAGGCCAUGGUGGGUGGCCGGGGAGCAAGGAAUAUUUGUGAGUAACCCCAGAUGGUGGCAAUCAUUUAAUGCCCUCCAUCCCUCUCAGUGUAUAUUAGGUUAUGUUUUUUUUUUAGAAAAUGGAGGAAGGGUUUUACUAUGUUGCCUAGGCCAGUCUCAAACUCCUAGGCUCAAGCGAUUCACCUGCAUUGGCCUCCUAAAUUGCUGGGAUUACAGGCAUGAGCCACUGUGCCUGGCCCAAGAAGUCUGAGCCAGACGUUGCUGCAUAGGUCAGAACUCUGUGGGCUAUGAAUGUAAGAUAUUCACGAGUCACAUCUAUUCCAUUCAUUGGCAAACACUUACCUGAAACCAUACAGCAAAAGAGAUUCUGGAAAAUGUACCUUCCAGCCUUAGAAGAAAGUGAUGGUGGUGCCCAGUUGACCCCAGGCAAGCCGGCCCAGGAAUGCAGACAUUUUGGACUGCUCAUCUUUUACUACUUUGUGUAGCCUUUCACAGAAGAAUUACACAAGAACUUGACUCUUGAUUCCAAGGAUUCUGGAAGAAUGCCAACCAAACUGAAGUCUACAAGCCUAACCAUGUUAUGAAAAGGCUGGAUGUGACAUGGUGAAUCCUCCUUAGAUGUGUUAACUAGGGUUAGGGUACCAGUGACAUGCAAGGGGUUGGCCAUUUGAUUAAGUAGAGGAGGCAUGAGUGAAAGCAGCACACCUCCACCCUGCUCAAUGGCCAUCAUCACCUAGCCAGGCUGUGAGCCUCCAUGGAGUGGGUAGCUGAGAACCCACAACCCACAAUAUAUCUUCUUUCUGGCCCUGUUAACAUGGACCUGUCUCUAUGAGGUGAUGGUUGAUAUCCAGCUAAGUAUGGCCCUCUUAAUAGUAAUGUGGGUGGCUUUAUUCAUAUUGGCUUCAUGAUAAAUGGUAUCACUGAGCUGACUUCUCUAUGUUUUAGAUAAAACAAAAAUAAAAGACAAAAAAAAAAAAAAGAAAAAAAGCAAAAUGACACAGGCAGUCUUGCUGCCAGACACAUCUGCAAUCAGAAAGCUUGGAAAAUUAGACUUGGAAAUGGCUUGAAAAAACCUUUAAACUUUUUCUGAAGAGCAAGUACAGGUUUGUCUCUGGGGUCAGUUCUAAUUCUUUGACCAGCUAAUUUUAAGUGGCUGUAUCUCGAAAAAAGUGACAGUGACAUUUUGGUACUCCAGCUGAACUUUUAGAUUAGUCACUGAUACAACUGCAACUUUUGGCCUAUUUGAAGGAUUUUAAGGGCAGGAUAAAUAACAAAACCCAACAGUCUUAGCCUGAGUUUCCCAGAAAUCAGAGCCUGAGACAAAGGCUUGCCUUUUAAGAUUAUCUGAGAAUGUGAUCUUAGGUAGCAAGAGUACAGGGUAGGGGAGUGAUCAGGGAAGGAGGGAAAGCUAAUGCAACAUGGAUUAUUACGUUGUCUACUACUAUGGACAAUUGUUCAUGUGGACUAUGCUGUGGACUACCAUAUGGACUACCACUAUCACUAUGGAUACAAGUCCUGCUUGGAAUUUUUGGGGAGAUUUAUGGAAAGUACUAGAGAACUGUUUGUCCAAAGGACCAAAGAUGGAAACAUUUAUCCAUUGGCUCCAGGUCCCCAUUGGUCAAGGAUGACUUGGUUGCAUUUCUAAGUAAUGUAUGCUGAGCACAGAGCAGAUUCAAGUGGUUGCCCUGAGCUGCAGAUACCUCUGGGCAGGAAAUGAGAGAUACUCAGUGCAGACCUAGAGUGAGACCCGUGAUCUGAUUGCACCAGCAUAGAGAUGGUCAAAACCUAGGUGGAAGCAGUUUCUUCAGUUGUAACUGGAGAUAGAGGUGGGAUUGAGAGGAUUUUAAAAAGGGGCCCAGGAGUUAUCUAAAGCACCAAACAAUUUUGAGGUUCGAUCAAUCUUCACUGUGGAAAGGAAGACUACCACUGGGUCUUCCUUUAUGACUACCAGAGACAGUUCUUCUGGGGCCAUUCUUCUUGUC